UGCAUGUUUACUCCAACCCUCCCCCAAUUGCAUAGCACACAAUCUCUUUUAAAUAGAAGUACCAAUGUGGGAUUCACGUAGAUUAUCACACUUGUAACUAAAAUGUCAGAGUAGAAUCCGGAAGCACUCAUCUUUGAGAUUGGUAGUUGACCAUUUCUGACUUGGUGGACAUCAUAUUCAUACAAAUUAAGACAUUUUAUAUGGCGCAAGCAACUUUUAGCUCAACACUGAUGUUCUCACAUAGUAGUUAAUGAAAUAGACAUAAGAAUAUUUUGAGGAGUUGAUGUACAUGGUUUAGUUUCCAGGUUAUGAUACCCAAUCUUUUU
rnacentral:lncRNA from 1 species